rnacentral:lncRNA from 1 species
GGUAGUGAUAACAGUUUAAUGAUGGUGGUAGUGAUAACAGUUUAAUGAUGGUGGUAGUGAUAACAGUUUAAUGAUGGUGGUAGUGAUAACAGUUUAAUGAUGGUGGUAGUGAUAACAGUUUAAUGAUGGUGGUAGUGAUAACAGUUUAAUGAUGGUGGUAGUGAUGACAGUUUAAUGAUGGUGGUAGUGAUAACAGUUUAAUGACGGUGGUAGUGAUAACAGUUUAAUGAUGAUGGUGGUAGUAGUAGUAAUGAUGAUGGUAGUGAUAACAGUUUAAUGGUGGUAGUAGUACUGAUGGUGGUAGUAGUAGUAAUGAUGAUGGUAGUGAUAACAGUUUAAUGGUGGUAGUAGUACUGAUGGUGGUAGUAGUAGUAAUGAUGGUGGUAGUAGUAGUACUGAUGGUGGUAGUAGUAGUACUGAUGGUGGUAGUAGUAGUAAUGAUGUUGGUGGUGAUAACAGUUUAAUGAUGGUGGUAGUAGUUGUAGUAAUGAUGGUGGUAGUAGUAAUGAUGGUGGUAGUGAUAACAGUUUAAUGGUGGUGGUGGUAGUAGUAAUGAUGAUGGUGGUAGUAGUAGUAAUGAUGGUGGUAGUAGUACUGAUGGUGGUAGUAGUAGUACUGAUGGUGGUAGUAGUAGUACUGAUGGUGGUAGUAGUAGUAAUGAUGGUGGUAGUAGUAGUAAUGAUGAUGGUGGUAGUAGUACUGAUGGUGGUAGUAGUACUGAUGGUGGUAGUAGUAGUACUGAUGGUGGUAGUAAUAGUAGUACUGAUGGUGGUAGUAGUAGUAGUAGUAGUGAUGAUGGUGGUAGUAGUACUGAUGGUGGUAGUAGUAGUAGUACUGAUGGUGGUAGUAGUAGUAGUACUGAUGGUGGUAGUAGUAGUAGUACUGAUGGUGCUAGUAGUAGUAAUGAUGGUGGUAGUAGUAGUAAUGAUGGUGGUAGUAGUAGUAAUGAUGGUGGUGGUGGUGAUAACAGUUUUAUGAUGAUGGUAGUGAUAACAGUUUAAUGAUGGUGGUAGUAGUCGUAGUAAUGAUGGUGGUAGUAUAAUGAUGGUGGUAGUGAUAACAGUUUAAUGAUGGUGGUAGUAGUAGUGAUAAUGGUGGUAGUAGUAGUAAUGAUGGUGGUAGUAGUAGUAAUGAUGGUGGUAGUAGUACUGAUGGUGGUGGUAGUAGUAGUACUGAUGGUGGUAGUAGUAGUACUGAUGGUGGUAGUAGUAGUACUGAUGGUGGUAGUAGUAGUACUGAUGGUGGUGGUAGUAGUACUGAUGGUUGUAGUAGUAGUAAUGAUGGUGGUAGUAGUACUGAUGGUGGUAGUAGUAGUAAUGAUGGUGGUAGUGAUAACAGUUUAAUGAUGGUGGUAGUAGUAGUAAUGAUGGUGAUAGUAGUAGUAAUGAUGGUGGUAGUAGUAGUAAUGAUGGUGGUAGUAGUACUGAUGGUGGUAGUAGUAGUACUGAUGGUUGUAGUAGUAGUAAUGAUGGUGGUAGUGAUAACAGUUUAAUGAUGGUGGUAGUAGUAGUAAUGAUGGUGGUAGUAGUAGUAAUGAUGGUGGCAGUGAUAACAGUUUAAUGAUGGAGGUAGUAGUAAUGGUGGUGGCAGGGGCGGAAAUCCCGGGGGGGACGGGGGGGACACGACCCACCCAUCCUGGGAAAAAUAUGAUUUGUCCCCCCCAAUAUAUCACUGAAACAUAACUAUGUAAUUUAAUAAUAUUAAUAAUACGCAAUGAAAGCAAUUGUGCUGAUUAUAGACACUUAAUAGCGCGUUUUUAAGUUUCAAAAGAUUGCGACCCCCCCCACCCUUUGCCUCACAAUGGUUUGAUCCAUUGCCAGUUCCUUAGUUGGCAAGGUAACAGAGGGGUCGUGUCUACUGUCUGAAAGGCACUCAAUGAAUGUGAGGUUAAUCUAGUCAAUCGCGCACACACACUAGCUGAAUAUGCAGAGCUAGCGCUCAAAUAUUAACUAUUAAGCUAGCUAGUACCUAUUCCAUUUAUGUGGCGUCGUCAAAGAUGGAAUCUUUGCUAUCGUCAAUUUAUUCCAAGGUCAGCAUGCAGAUUAUGUAAGUUAGUGCUUCAAAGUCCCUGUGAUAAGGUUAGCAAUAAACUGAAGUCCAAACUGAACAGAACUACACUCUCUUCUACCAUUGUCUUAAAUAUAUUUAAUGGUCUCGUUGCAAAAGCUAAAUUGUCGCAAGGGAACUUUUAUUUAUUUAUUUUAUUUCACCUUUAUUUAACCCGGGUAGCAAAGAUUAUAGCAAACACCACUGAAACUGAAUUGGUGCUCGCUAGCUUUGCAAAUUCAGCUAUUGUUGGAAGCCAGCCAAUAUGAAACAAACUAUUAAAAUUACAAAAGGUUGCAGCAUAUGUUGUGUAAAUGGUGAACUCAUACAGCUGUCAACUCUUGUCAUUUUAAUCCGUUUCACAUUUGCUAGCUACCUUUUAGAUCGAAGCCCAAAUAGAAUGAUAGAAGAUGAUAGAAGCCCAUCUUCUACUGUAAAUAACCUACACACUGUGUGUGUGUGUGUAGCCAGCCAGCCAGCCAGCCAGGUAGAAAAAUGGCAGAAAAAUAAAAGACGGACAUCAGAGUAUUUUUCAAUACACCAAAACGCAUAGUAAGAACCCUAGUAGCCUAAUAUCUCAAAGACUAGUUGAUAAAAUCUUCAUAAGAAAGAAAUGAAAUUCUAAUGGAAAUGUUUCACAAUGAUGUUAUUAGGCAGAGCAGGCAACAGAUGGCACACAGACAGCAGAGUUGGGGACAGAUAUGCAGGGACAGACUGGCAGAGACAGGGAGUCUUAGGUACGUUUGUUGAGUCUUUGUUUGGCAACAUUAUGAAAGGUUCUCAAUUUUUUUUACUUGUAAAAUAGUAACAUCAUUGGAAAAUGCCAUGGAUACCCCCACUCUCAACUUAAACUGGUGACUGAACUAAGAUUUGUUAAAGGCAAUGGUAUUGCUGUUGUGAUUAGUUGUGUAGUUUUGGGUACCGGUAGUUAGGAGUACGGCAAACACCUUAUUUCUUUGGUUCCUCAAUAUACAUUUACCAUAUUACAAUGUAGGCUAUGUGUUACAGCACUACUUUUGGUGUCCCCCUCAGGAAUUGCUCUUGAGAACAUUUCAUGUAAUUGUCCCCUCCAAAGUUGAUAUCAGAUUUUCACCCCUGGGUGGUGGUAGUAGUAGUACUGAUGGUGGUAGUAGUAGUAAUGAUGAUGGUGGUUGUAGUACUGAUGUAAUGGUGAAGAUGACAGUUAUUUAGUUAUAAGUUAGUUAUAGUUUCAUUUUCCAUUUUUAGCUUUUUAUAUUUAUUACAUUUCUACUAUUGACUGUUACAUUUUAUUGUUGUUAUUUUUGUUUUUAAUUUUGUAUUAUUAUUUACUACAAUUUUAUAUUAUUACUUGUUAUUGUUUAUCAUUUUAUUACAAUGUAUGUUGUAUUAUAUAUAUUGUAUACAUUGUUGCUUUGGUAAUAUUGACACAAUGUUUUUCAUGCCAAUAAAGCAGCUUGAAUUUGAAUUUAGAGAGAGAGACACAGAGAGAGAGAGAGAGAGACACAGAGAGAGAGAGAGACACAGAGAGAGAGAGACACAGAGAGAGACACAGAGAGAGAGAGACACAGAGAGAGAGAGAGACACAGAGAGAGAGAGAGACACAGAGAGAGAGAGAGAGAGACAGAGAGAGAGAGAGAGACACAGAGAGAGAGAGAGAGAGAGACACAGAGAGAGAGAGAUACACAGAGAGAGAGAGAGAUACACAGAGAGAGAGAGACACACAGAGAGAGAGAGAGACACACAGAGAGAGAGAGAGACACACAAUGAGAGAGAGACACAGAGAGAGACACACACAGAGAGAGAGAGACACACAGAGAGAGGCUGUUAGAGUACCUGUUGGUUUCAACAUUCACGCUGUUAGGACUGUUUGUGUGUGUGUAGCCCUGUAUAAUGUAAUGCAUAAAAGUUAUCAUUACAUAAUUUACUUUAA